AGAGUUUGAUCAUGGCUCAGGAUGAACGCUGGCGGCGUGCCUAACACAUGCAAGUCGAACGGUUAAGGCGGCUUCGGCCGCGAAUAAAGUGGCGAACGGGUGAGUAACGCGUGACCGACCUUCCCCCCGCACCGGGACAACCGCGGGAAACCGCGGCUGAUACCGGGUACUCCGGGGCCCCCGCAUGGGGGCCCCGGGAAAGCUCCGGCGGCGGGGGAUGGGGUCGCGUCCCAUCAGGUAGUAGGCGGGGCAACGGCCCACCUAGCCGACGACGGGUAGCCGGGUGGAGAGACCGACCGGCCACAUUGGGACUGAGAUACGGCCCAGACUCCUACGGGAGGCAGCAGUGGGGAAUUUUGCGCAAUGGGGGCAACCCUGACGCAGCAACGCCGCGUGCGGGACGACGGCCUUCGGGUUGUAAACCGCUUUCAGCAGGGAAGAACCUCUGACGGUACCUGCAGAAGAAGCCCCGGCUAACUACGUGCCAGCCGCCGCGGUAAUAC
rnacentral:rRNA from 1 species